rnacentral:rRNA from 1 species
UACGGAGGAUGCAGGCGUUAUCCGGAAUGAUUGGGCGUAAAGCGUCCGCAGGUGGCUAUGUAAGUCUGCUGUUAAAGAGUGAGGCUCAACCUCAUAAGAGCAGUGGAAACUACAUGGCUAGAGUGCGUUCGGGGCAGAGGGAAUUCCUGGUGUAGCGGUGAAAUGCGUAGAGAUCAGGAAGAACACCGGUGGCGAAGGCGCUCUGCUAGGCCGCAACUGACACUGAGGGACGAAAGCUAGGGGAGCGAAUGGG